rnacentral:rRNA from 1 species
AACGAACGCUGGCGGCAUGCCUAACACAUGCAAGUCGAACGAGACCUUCGGGUCUAGUGGCGCACGGGUGCGUAACGCGUGGGAACCUGCCCUUAGGUUCAGAAUAACUCCCCGAAAGGGGUGCUAAUACCGGAUAAUGUCUUCGGACCAAAGAUUUAUCGCCUUUGGAUGGGCCCGCGUUGGAUUAGCUAGUUGGUAGGGUAAAAGCCUACCAAGGCGACGAUCCAUAGCUGGUCUGAGAGGAUGAUCAGCCACACUGGGACUGAGACACGGCCCAGACUCCUACGGGAGGCAGCAGUGGGGAAUAUUGGACAAUGGGCGAAAGCCUGAUCCAGCAAUGCCGCGUGAGUGAUGAAGGCAUUAGGGUUGUAAAGCUCUUUUAACCGGGAUGAUAAUGACAGUACCGGGAGAAUAAGCCCCGGCUAACUACGUG